CCUUGAGGUUGAUUGACAGUGACUCCAUCAACACUGCUGUGAAAUGGCCAUCAAAGAGAUGCAGGGGAAUUGGAUUUCGCUCAGGCCCCUUCUACAAGCUGUAUAAAAUCCACAUUUAACUCAGAUUAUAUGGCGGUGUCGAGUCAAAGCAGAUAUUGUGGUUAUAUGGCUGUGUGGAAGGGCCUUCAGAUAAAUUCCUCAGGCUGUUUGUCUUAUAUGGGCCCUUCCACACAGGUUUUAUUCAUAUGUCUUUCUCACCAAGUUUUAAUUUAGUGUUCAUGUGGCCUGCCCUGAUUUUUAUUGCUUUUUCUGAAUUUUGGAUUGUAAUGUAUGUUAUUAUUUAUUGUAUUGUUAAAUUGUGUUAUGAUACGUUGUUUUAUAUUUUGUCAUAUUGUAUGGUUUUGGGCAUGGCCCCAUGUAAGCCGCCCCGAGUCCCCGUUGGGGAGAUGGUGGCGGGGUAUAAAUAAAGUUUUAUUAUUAUUAUUAUUAUAUAACCCAGAAUAUCAAAGCAGAAAAUCCCAAAAUAUCUGCUUUGAACAGGGGCCCCUUCUACACAACUGAAUAAAAUCCCACAUUUUCUGCUUUGAACUGGAAUAUAUGGAAGUGUGGACUCGAAUAACCCAGUUCAAAGCAUAUAUUGUGGAUUAUCUGCCUUGAUAUUCUAGGUUGUAUGGCUGUGUGGAAGGGCCCAUAUAAGACAAACAGCCUGAGGAAAUUAUCUGAGGGCCCUUCCACACAGCCAUAUGUAACCCAAAAUAUCAAGGCAGAUAAUCCACAAUGUCUGCUUUGAAUUGUGUUAUCUGAGCCCACACUGCCAUAUAUUCCAGCUCAAUGUGGAUUUUAUACAGCUGUGUGGAAGGGGCCUAUGUCUCCCUGCAUGAGAAUCUGUUUUAAACCAAUGGAUUUCAGAGCUGUUUGCAACUAUGGGCACGGGACAUGGUUUCUGCGCCCUGGACUUCUUGGACUACUUCCCUCUCCAGAUUCAUAGAAUUGGAAGAGAUCCCAAGGGUCAUCUAAUCCAAACUUCUUCUAUGCAGGAGGCACUUCUAUGCACAAUGGAAACGCUCUCGAGAGAUGUCCCUCCAACUUCUACAGGGUGUGCUUUAAAAUGGUAGAUCUAGUUUCAAAAAUGUACUGUACUGUAUUACACAAUGGCAGCAUGUUGCUGUCACACAAAAAGUGCUGAAUGGUUUACUGCAUCGUCAAGUUUUACUAACCAUUUAGAGCCAGAAACAAAGCUAGAAUCUUCACCCACCCCACGCCGGACCAACUUUAAAUGCUGGCAUGGUUCGGUGGGCAAUGACAGAGGAUGAUGGGAGUUAUAGUUCAUCCACAAUCAAAGAGCACUGUGAACUCCAUCAACCAUGGAUCAGGACAAAACUUGGUCAAAUCAUUCCAAUAAUCUGGACCAAAAAAACCUCUAUGGGCCUUUCCACACAGCAAAUAACCAAGAAUAUCAAGACAGGAAAUCCAACAAUAUCUGCUUUGAACUGGAAUAUAUGGCAGUGUGGACUCAGAUAACCCAGUUCAAAGCAGAUAUUGUGGGAUUUUCUGCCUUAAUAUUCUCAGUUAUAUGGCUGUGUGGAAGGGCCCUUUGUUCUACCCUUUCAAGUAGUAAGUUUCAUUUGUAGGCGGUUCAUGGUUGCAGAGAUACAGUGACUUCAGAUUAGGUCCAUCUUUUUGAAACACCCUGUAUUUAAAAGCACCACCCUCUAAAGCAGUCUAUUCUACUGUCAAACUGUUCUUGGGAGUUUUUUUAAUGUACAAUAUGUCCUCCUCUUUUGUAAUGUUAAUGUUCUGUGUUCUAGUCUCUGGAAUAGAAAGCAUCACCAGUCUCUGGAAAAUUUCAGCUUCUCAAUAUCUUCCUUGAGUUACACUAUAUAACAUGAUUUUUGUUCCUGGGUUAUAAAUGUCAUUUCCCAAUUGGUUCUUUCAUAAAAAUAUGAAAAACAUUUAGUAAACUGCAAAAAAAUUGUUUUUGCGGGACAUCCUGCAGCACAUUUUGCUAUAGAUUUUCAAUGAAUAUUUCAUCCAUUCUCAACCAAUUCAACCGUUUGUGGCAGGCACAAAAAUGAAGCUUCUGGAGUAUAACAGUUAUCUUCAAAGUAAAUAAAUACUGCACAAUUAAACAGGAAAUAAUGCUUUCAAACCAGGAACAGAUUUUUUUUUCAAAUGUUCAUAGAAUCAUAGAAUAGUAGAGUUGGAAGAGACCUCAUGGGCCAUCCAGUCCAACCCCCUGCCAAGAAGCAGGAAGUCGCAUUCAAAGCACCCCCGACAGAUGGCCAUCCAAAUUUUGUUACAUAGUGUAAUGGGGCCCAGAAGUGAAUACAGUUUUUAGUUUGACCAAAGCAAAAUCAUAGUCCAGCACUCAAACACUGGCUGUCACUGGGACCUUGAAUAUGCCUAAUUUUCAACAGAGAGAUACAACCAGUAUACUGACCAAAUUGGUUCUCUGCACAUUUGCUUUUACAAAAUGACACCUCACGGAACUAGUUAAGGCAGCAGCACAGCAGAGGGCACACCAUACUAAUUUUAUACACUUCAGCAGGACAUUUGGAUAUCAGGAAUUUAAUUAAUGACUUAAAGGUAAUUAAAACUGCACUCCUGCUGUUCCUGGGAAUCCCAGGCUUUCUUUAAAAAAAAACAAAAAACAUUUCCCUUGGAGAAUAGGAGGAUAAGCCCACUCUGAGAGAGUGAAAAGCAAGUCCUUUCCAAAUCCCACAGAGAAGCUGAUUUAGAUCAUUUCUCUCCUGCUGAUUUCAAUGGAAGGUUUGUUUGUUUGUUUUGAAAGCAAUUUGUUGGUUUUAAAGGCAGGGGAACAGAAAUGUGGUUUCUCUUUAGGACUGGCAGGACAGCGGAAGCUCUGAUAAUGCUGUACUGAGACACAGGAAGACUUUCUGCUGAGCAAACAGAUUUUAUGUAACACUCCAGAUUUCUCUGUAUGACAAUACCACCCAACAGAACUUCCUGACAAUAAGAGCUGUUCAAAGGAGGGAUUUGCUGCCUGGGAGUGUGGUAGAAUCUUAUUAUCUGGGGUAUUUUAAGUAGGGGUUAGAUGGCCAUCUGUCAGGAGUGCUUUGAUUGUGUAUUUCUCAAAGAAACAAGGACCAAAGACAAUUGGACAGGCAGCCCUUGGAGUCUCUUACAACUCUGUGAUUAAUGCUUUGUCAUUUAGCCCACAGAUUUAUCUUCAAAAUCAAUGAGGUAUAAUCCUCACAUGCAGAAAAAAGUAAUUAGGUUUCAUUAUUGGUCUCUGUUAAUUAUAUAUUUAGGAUUGCACUUUACUUUACACAUUUCUGAUAUUUAAAAAAUGGGGAAGUGGGAAGAAAGGAGUCUUGGUGCACCUCUAAAACAGAUUUCUCCCAUGCAUUAAUCUAGUUUAUCAAAUAAAAUAAUUUACAUUUUGAACUUUAACCCCCGUGGCACAGUGGGUUAAACCGCUGAGCUACUGAACCUGAUGACUGAAAGGUUGGUGGUUCAAUCUGGGGCGUGGGGUGAGCUCCCACUAUUAGCCCCAGCUUCUGCCAUUCUAGCAGUUCGAAAUAGGCAAAUGUGAGUAGAUCAAUAUGUACUACUCCAGUGGUAAAAUAACACUGCUCCAUGCAGUCAUGCUGGCUACAUGACAUUGGAGGUGUCUACGGACAAUGCUGGCUGUUUGGCUUAGAAAUGGAGAUGAGCACCAACUCCCAGAGCUGGACACUGGGAUACCUUUACUUUUACCUAAGGGAAUUUCAGUACUAUGCUAGGCAACCACAAACCUGAACAUCCGUUUCACUAUGGGACUUAUUCCUUCUGGCUGUUACAGCUUUACCAUUAGUUCUAUACUUCUCAAAUCAUAACAAGGAAAAUUGAUAUAUGAUUACAUAUAUGUUCACAGGGGAAAGGGGGUACUUUUAGACUCUGUUUUCUAAAGGCCAUUUUUAGAAUGUGAUCAGAUUUUUCACUUUAUAUGUAAUGUUGACAAUAUAAGCAUUUCUUCUUCAUCCUAAGUGUAAACUCUCAUAUCUUAUCAUUUCAAGCCUUGAAAAAAUCAGAAUACCAAAAUCCAAAAAAAGAUCUACAUGAGAGUCAGUUCUGUUGAAAGUGCUAGGAGAGGUUUCACAUAUAUCAGGAUAUAAGAAGGUACAAAAAAAAAAACUCAGAUUUCCUUAGAUGGAAGAAAAACAAACUAAAUAUAUAACCAGUCCAUUCCAUCUUUCUCAUCUUCAUUCAUCUCUCCACCACUACAACUGUAUUUCUGUUUCAUUGCGUUACUAGCAAAACAAUAUUAUUAGUUUAAAAAUUAUAUAUGGGAUGUACAAGAUGCAUAAAUGACUCAAAACUGGUAUUAUGAAAAUAAAAAAUGUUUGGAACUUUAAUUGCAAAUAAUUUACAUAUAAAUUAGCUUAAAAUAUUAUAGAAAACUGAGCUUGAGAUUAAAUUAAUGAAUAUAAACAGUAACAGUAGUCCUUGUGCAAUCAACAAUCCACCGCUGCUUCUGAACCAUGGUCCAACUCAUCAUGCUCUUCCUCGCUCUCUGAAUCUUCAUAAAAGGAAAGUGUGGCUUGGACAGGAAAGUUUCUCAGAAGUGCUUCCGCUUCGUGAUACAAGUAAUCAAAGCACCUUGAUUUGGGCCAGAAUAAUCUAAGACAAAGAAAUGAAAUGUAUUGUUCAUUUAAACUACAAAAAAUAUUGGAAUCACUCACUCUGGUUCAAGUUAUGAGUUCAAGACAACUCAUUCAAUUGGAGUGGGAAGGUGUGGGACAAUUUGCCCUCAGAUAUUUUGGACAAUUCCAUAAUGACUUGAGAUUGAACUCACUUUGGUGAGAUUCAAGUACAAAAUAUUUGGAAGUCCAAAGCUUCCACUUCAACCUAGGGUGCAUCUACAUCAGUGGUUCUCAACUUGUGGGUCCCCAGAAGUGUUGGUCUUCAACUCCCAGAAAUCCUAACAGUUGGCAAAAUGUCUGGGAUUUCUGGGAGUUGUAGGCCUAAACAUCUGGGGACCCACAGGUUGAGAACCACUGAUCUACACUGUCAAAUUAAUGCAGUUUGGCCUCAUUUUAAUUGCCAUGGCUAAUGCUAUGGAAUCCUGGGAAUUGGAGUUUGGUGAUGUACCAGCACUCUUAGGCAGAGAGCACUAAAGACCUUAUAAAAUUGCAACUCACAUGAUUCAUUAACACUGAGCCAUGGCAGUUAAUGUAGUGCUGAACUGCAUUAAUUCUGCCAUGUAGAUGCACCCACAGAGUUAAAAGGAAAUAGAUUUUUCCCCUUUUUAUGUUUAAAAAAUGUUCAGUGAAGAAGUAAAAACUGCAAACAUAUAUGGUUAUGCCUUUUUUAUUGCAUGGGAAGCUUUGCUACAAACUACAAAGAAAAUGCAGGUUAUACUUUCUUUAUUAUAACAAAGCACCAAAUAGUAAACCAUACUUUUAUCCAACUGUAAUCAGAGCCAUUUGGUAACUAAGGAUACUCAUGGUGAAAUUGUAUAGUGUGUUCUAAAAAUACAGAGUUACUUUAUGUAUCAACUAGUUUUAGUAACAACCCAUCUUUGGUACAGUAGAGUCUCACUAAUCCAAGCCUCGCUUAUCCAAGCCUCUGGAUAAUCCAAGCCAUUUUUGUAGUCAAUGUUUCCAAUAUAUCAUGAUAUUUUGGUGCUAAAUUCAUAAAUACAGUAAUUACAACAUAACAUUACUGCGUAUUGAACUACUUUUUCUGUCAAAUUUGUUGUAUAACAUGAAGUUUUGGUGCUUAAUUUGUAAAAUCAUAAUCUAAUUUGAUGUUUAAUAGGCUUUUCCUUGAUCAGUCCUUAUAAUCCAAGAUAUUCGCUUAUCCAAGCUUCUGCCGGCCCGUUUAGCUUGGAUUAGUGAGACUCUACUGUAAUUUAGAUGUUUCUGUAAGGCAAAAACAUAGAGGCAAUUCCCAGGUCACAAACAAAAUAGGUUCUUUAGGUUUGUUCUUAAGCUGAAUUUGUUAAGUUGGAACAGGUACAUUUUAAGUGUAACUCCAGCCGUGUGUGUGUGUGUGUGUGUGUGUGUGUGUGUGUGUGUGUGUGUGUACAGUAUAAGCUUUAGAUAGCAUAGGGAAGGGUUAACCCCCUGUAGUGUUUAUUUUGCUGUCUGUGCCCCUGUCCAGAAGAUUUCACCUCACUUUCUGUCCCUGCAAUGCUUUGGCUUGUUGUGGAUUGGUGCUAAACCUUCAGUGGAGACACCUUUUCCCCAUAAUAAUUAUUCUCCCAGGAGUGAAUUUCCCUUCCAAGGGGCAGAUCUCUCUCUCUUCCUGUUGUCUUACCCCCAUUCUUAAGUGUUAGUCCUUUGUAAGUCAGAUAUUUGUAACCUGGAGUCUGCCUAUACAUAUGUGUAUGUGUGUGUAUUUACACACACACACAUAUAUCACUGCAUGGAGCAUUCCAAAUCGCCCUCUCCAGUUUGUGUCAUGUAAAAUGAGGGCCCUUCCAGACAGACCCUAUAUUCCAAGAUCUGAUUCCAGGUUUUCUGCUUUAAAUUGGAAUAUAUGAGUCCACACUGCCAGAUAAUCUGGGAUAAACAAAAAACCUGGGAUCAGAUCCUAGCAUAUAGGGCCUGUCUGGAAGCACCCUGAGCAAUUACCACUUUCAGGCACAUAUAGGAUUAGGAAGCAAAAUACUUUCAUAUGAAAAGACCAAAUCUGGCCAAGUUUCAAUUGCUAUAGUUCAAGUUGGUCUGUCCCCAAGAAGACAUCUAUAUUGCAGAAUUAAUGCAGUUUGCCACCACUUUAACUGCAAUAGUUCGAUGCUAUGUAAUCAUGGCAUUGUAGUAUUACCAAGGCCACCCACAUUAUCUGCUUUGAACUGGAUUAUAUGACAGUGUGGACUCAGAUAACCCAGUUCAAAGCUGAUGUGGAUUAUGUAUCUGCCUUGAUAUUCUGGGUUAUAUGGCUAUGUGGAAGGGCCCAAAGUCUCUAACCUCUGACCAAGAGUGGUAUAGAUUUGAAAUAUUUUUCCAAAUAAAGAUAUAACAACUAGUGUUUGCCCCUUUUUGCCAGUUUUCAUCUACAUAUAAUAUAUCUUGAAAUUAAAUAUGCAAAGAUACCCUCUUCUAAAUAUCCUCAUUUACUGGACUCCCCUCACCCCACACAUUAAUUAAUGGCACAGAAGCAAUACCUAGGAAAAAUAGGGAAGAUAUUUUAAAAAAUCUUACCUGACUGGGUGUGUAUAGUGUGUGAGUUUUGCUGAGUCUUCCAUAGUCUCAGAAGAAUCGCCCAACUAAAGAAUGUGAGGUGGAAACAUAGAUCAUAGAUCAAUGAUGAACGAUAUUGAUUGAACAAUGUUCAAAUGCAAUACAUGUGAAAUCCAUCACUUUGGAACUUACAUAUUCACAAAUAACAUUGAAAAAGAUCUGAUUUUAUUUUAGAUCACUCCUAAAUAUCUUAAGGAGCCUCCGGUGGCUCUUUGUGUUAAAGCGCUGAGCUGCUGAACUUGCAGACCAAAAGGUCCCAGGUUCAAAUCCGGGGAGCGGAGUGAACGCCCGCUGUUAGCUCCAGCUUCUGCCAACCUAGCAGUUUGAAAACAUGCAAAUGUGAGUAGAUCAAUAGGUACCGCUCCGGCGGGAAGGUAACGGCGCUCCAUGCAGUCAUGCUGGCCACAUGACCUUGGAGGUGUCUACGGACAACGCUGGCUCUUCGGCUUAGAAAUGGAGAUGAGCACCAACCCCCAGAGUCGGACAUGACUGGACUUAACGUCAGGCGAAACCUUUACCUUUAAAUAUCUCAAAGGAACCAGAUCCCGUCAGAACUUGGAAUCUAUUAGUACCUGGAUGGGAGACCUCCAAUGAGUAGUAGGCUAUAUUUCAGGAAUGGACAAAACCACUCCGAGUAUGUCUUGCCUAAGAAAAUCCUAUGAAAUUCAUGAUGUUGCCCAAAGUAGACAUGUGAAUGCUCACAAAUAUAAAGAGAGAGAGUAUUUUGCAGCCUGAGGCCCCUUCUACACUGCCAUAUAAUCCAGUUUCUAAACCAAGAUGAUCUGCUUUGAACUAGUUUAUAUAGCAGUGUAGGCUCAUAUAAUCUAGUUCAAAACAGGUAAUCUAGAUUCAGAAACUGGAUUAUAUGGCAGUGUAGAUCCAGCCCGAUAUUAUCUCCCUUGCACUCAAGGUGCAGUGUGUCUAAAGAUGGUCAAGUUAUUUCUGCACAACGAGAAAAAGAAAUCCCACUAGCAUCUCUCAUCUCCCCCAAAUGUCAAAAUAUGAUGAUGUCAACAAUAAUGACACUAAUAACUAGAUAAUGAUUUAUUACAUUUUCAUGACAUCUCUCCAAAACGGACUGCCUUUAGCUGUCAGCUUACUUUGCCUGAAGAUAGAAUUGCCAUGAUGUUAACCCUAGAUCUGAGACUCAAAUUUCAUGAAAAAUGCAAGAAAUGUAAAGUGAUUUAGGUAUCACUGACAAAGUCAAUUUUGUCUUCAUAAGAGACUAAAUAUCUCAACUUUAAUGAAGCUCAUGCUGAUGAUGAUAUGCUUGCUAAUAAUGAUGCUCUAAAAGUGUGACAGUGAUACCUUUAUUUGUUUUGUUCCUUCAAAUUAUUUCUAAUUUAUGGUGUCUCUAAAGCAAACCUUCUCGGUGGUGGCUCCCCGGCUGUGGAACACCCCCCCCCCCCAGAGACAUACGACAAGCCCCCAACCCUUAGCUUCAGAAGAGCCCUUAAAACAUGGCUAUGUGCUCCGGCUUUCAAUGAAUAAAUGGCAAAGAUGAUAUGGACUGAUUUUGGCUAUAGCAUAAGGCUUCUUGGAUGACUGGAUCUAACCUUUGUUUAAAUCUUUUAUAUUUUAUAUUUUUAUAUUGUAUUUCUAAUUUUUAACUGUUUUAUGUACUGUGUGGUUUUAACUGUGUAUAGGCAUCAAAUUGUUGCCAUUAUUGUAUGCCGCUCUGAGUCCCCUCGGGUGAGAAGGGCGGGAUAUAAUACUGGAAAUAAAUAAUAGUAAUAAUAAUAAAAAUAAUAAUAAACCUA